CCUACGGGUGGCAGCAGUGGGGAAUAUUGCACAAUGGGGGAAACCCUGAUGCAGCGACGCCGCGUGGGUGAAGAAGUAAUUCGUUAUGUAAAGCUCUAGCAGCAGGGGAGAAAAUGACGGUACCUGAGUAAGAAGCCCCGGCUAACUACGUGCCAGCAGCCGCGGUAAUACGGAGGGGGCAAGCGUUAUCCGGAUUUGCUGGGUGUAAGGGGAGCGUAGGCGGCAGUGCAAGUCUGGAGUGAAAGGCGGGGGCUCAACCCCCGGACGGCUCAGGAAACUGUAAGGUUGGAGUGAAGGAGAGGUAAGUGGAAUUCCUAGUGUAGCGGUGAAAUGCGUAGAUAUUAGGAGGAACACCAGUGGCGAAGGCGGCUUCCUGGACUGUAACUGACGUUGAGGCUCGAAAGCGUGGGGAGCAAACAGGAUUAGAUACCCUUGUAGUC
rnacentral:rRNA from 1 species